rnacentral:rRNA from 1 species
AGCGAACGCUGGCGGCAGGCUUAACACAUGCAAGUCGAGGGGAGCGGCAGACGGGGGAGGAACGCGUGGGAACGUACCUUUUGGUUCGGAACAGCACAGGGAAACUUGUGCUAAUACCGGAUAGCGAAAGAUCGGACAGGGUCUGAUUAGGUAGGUGGUAGGGUAAUGGCAUACCAAGGCGACGAUGAGUAGCUGGUAUGAGAGGAUGAUCAGCAACAUUGGGAAUGAGACACGGCCCAAACUCCUACGGGAGGGAUAAGUUGGGAAUAUUGGACAAUGGGGGCAACCCUGAUGCAGCCAUGCCGGGUGAGUGAUGAAGGCCCUAGGGUUGUAAAGCUCUUUUGUGCGGGAAGCGGUACCGCAAGAAUAAGCCCCGGCUAACUUCGUGCCAGCAGCCGCGGUAAUAC